GACUAUCGGCAAUGGAUAUCUCGGCUCUCGCAUCGAUGAAGAACGUAGCGAAAUGCGAUACUUGGUGUGAAUUGCAGAAUCCCGUGAACCAUCGAGUCUUUGAACGCAAGUUGCGCCCGAAGCCACUAGGCCGAGGGCACGUCUGCCAGGGUGUCA
rnacentral:rRNA from 1 species